rnacentral:tRNA from 1 species
GAGGGUAUAGCGCAGUGGUAGAGUGCACGCCUAGCAUGCAUGAGGUCUCUAGGUUCAAUCCCUAGUACUUCCU